GACGAACGCUGGCGGCGUGCUUAACACAUGCAAGUCGAACGGAAAGGCCCUGCUUUUGUGGGGUGCUCGAGUGGCGAACGGGUGAGUAACACGUGAGUAACCUGCCCUUGACUUUGGGAUAACUUCAGGAAACUGGGGCUAAUACCGGAUAGGAGCUCCUGCUGCAUGGUGGGGGUUGGAAAGUUUCGGCGGUUGGGGAUGGACUCGCGGCUUAUCAGCUUGUUGGUGGGGUAGUGGCUUACCAAGGCUUUGACGGGUAGCCGGCCUGGGAGGGUGACCGGCCACAUUGGGACUGAGCUACGGCCCGGACUCCAACGGGAGGCAGGAGUGGGGAAUAUUGCACGAUGGGCGGAAGCCUGAUGCAGCAACGCCGCGUGCGGGAUGACGGCAUUCGGGUUGUAAACCGCUUUCGCCUGUGACGAAGCGUGAGUGACGGUAAUGGGUAAAGAAGCACCGGCUAACUACGUG
rnacentral:rRNA from 1 species